rnacentral:tRNA from 2 species
GGCGGGGUAGCUCAGCUGGGUAGAGCAAGCGGCUCAUAAUCUCUUUGUCGUGGGUUCAAAUCCCGCCUCCGCUACCA